rnacentral:rRNA from 1 species
UACAGAGGGUGCGAGCGUUGUUCGGAAUUAUUGGGCGUAAAGCGCAUGUAGGCGGCUUUGCAAGUCGCGUGUGAAAGCUCCAGGCUCAACCUGGAAAGUGCGCGCGAAACUGUGAGGCUUGAGUGCCGGAGAGGGUGGCGGAAUUCCCGGUGUAGAGGUGAAAUUCGUAGAGAUCGGCAGGAACACCCAGGGGGAAACCAGCCGCCUGGGCAAGCGCUGACGCUGAGGUGCGAGAGCGUGGGGAGCGAACCGG